CAUGCCCCUAGAGGCAUUGCAGGUGUGGUUGCUGUGUCACAUGUGUGUUAGUAGGGAGGCAGAGAGGAGAGAGGCUACGUCUGUGCUCAGCAUUUAGUCCUGUGAAUGUCUGACUGACUAGUAGCCUAACAUU